rnacentral:misc_RNA from 1 species
UAGGCUUUGUGGAAUUCAAAGCCGGAACAGAACCCAUGAUUAAAAAAAAACUAAAACUUCAAACCAGUGCAGAGAAAGAUCUUCUCUUUCUUUUCUCUUCUCUGGUUCGAAGGGGAAAGGGGAAUUGAAGAAGACAAAACUUUACUUGAAAGAUAGCGAAUUGAACCAGAAAUGGAGUGAGAUGAAAGGGUUGUGGAGGCUGCAAGAGAGAUGGUAGAAGGGGGCUAUCAGGAGAGGAAGGAGUCAAUGACUUGUUCAAAUGAAAUGGGCUGGGC